AUUAAACGCUGGCGGCAGGCCUAACACAUGCCAGUCGAGCGGAUGAAGGGAGCUUGCUCCUGGAUUCAGCGGCGGACGGGUGAGUAAUGCCUAGGAAUCUGCCUGGUAGUGGGGGAUAACGUCCGGAAAUGGGCGCUAAUACCGCAUACGUCCUGAGGGAGAAAGUGGGGGAUCUUCGGACCUCACGCUAUCAGAUGAGCCUAGGUCGGAUUAGCUAGUUGGUGGGGUAAAGGCCUACCAAGGCGACGAUCCGUAACUGGUCUGAGAGGAUGAUCAGUCACACUGGAACUGAGACACGGUCCAGACUCCUACGGGAGGCAGCAGUGGGGAAUAUUGGACAAUGGGCGAAAGCCUGAUCCAGCCAUGCCGCGUGUGUGAAGAAGGUCUUCGGAUUGUAAAGCACUUUAAGUUGGGAGGAAGGGCAGUAAGUUAAUACCUUGCUGUUUUGACGUUACCAACAGAAUAAGCACCGGCUAACUUCGUG
rnacentral:rRNA from 1 species